rnacentral:rRNA from 1 species
ACGGCAGCUUGCAUGGAAGAACAAGAUGAGAUCAAUGCCGAGCACAUCGUCGUCGUGGGCGCCGGCCCCGCCGGCCUCGCCGUGGCUCUCGGGCUGCACAGGAAAGGGGUGAGGAGCGUGGUGCUGGAGUCGUCGCCGGCGUUGCGCGCGUCCGGCUACGCCAUCACGACGUGGCCCAACGCCUUCCGCGCGCUCGACGCCCUCGGGGUCGGCGACAAGAUCAGGAAGCUCCACCUGCACAUCCAAGGGCUGCGUGUCUUCUCUGCGUCCACCGGAGAGAUCGCACACGAGCUGGAUUUCACGCUGCAGGAGAAUGGAGGACCUCAUGAGACCUGCCGUGUCAGGCGUGACCUGCUGCUCCGGACGCUCGAGGAGGAGCUGCCGACGGGCACCAUUCGCUACUCGUCCAAGAUCGUCUCCAUCGACGACCAAGACGGCGCCGCCAAGAUCCUCCACCUCGCCGACGGCUCGACUCUCAGGGCAAAGGUGCUGAUCGGCUGCGACGGGGUCAACUCGGUGGUGGCGAAAUGGCUGGGGCUCCCCAAGCCGUCCUACUCGGGGCGCUUGGCCACGAGAGGCCUCGCACAUUACCCCGACGGCCAUGGUUUCGAGCCCGAGUUCCUGCAGUACAUCGGCCAUGGCUUCCGCUUCGGCUUCGUGCCCUGCGACGACACCCGCAUCUACUGGUUCUACACCUGGUCUCCCUCCCAGAACGCGAGUGCGGACAAGGGCGUCGACGUCGAGGGCGCCGCCAAGAUGAAGCAGCACGUGCUGGCCAGGCUGAGGAGCUCCAAGGUGCCCGCGGGGGCGCUGGAGGUGGUGGAACGGAGCGACAUGAGCGACGCGUCCGCCGCGCCGCUGCGGUUCCGUUCGCCGCUGUCGCUCCUGUUCGCGAGCAUCAGCAAGGGCAACGUGUGCGUGGCCGGCGACGCGCUGCACCCGAUGACGCCGGACCUGGGCCAGGGCGGCUGCUCGGCGCUGGAGGACGGCGUCAUCCUGGCGAGAUGCCUCGGCGACGCCGUCCUUGGCGGGGAGGCUGGCACGGAGGAGGAGAGGAUCGAGUCGGGCCUGCGCGAGUACGCCGGGAUGCGGCGGUGGCGGAGCGUCCAGCUCGUCGGAGCCGCCUACAUGGUCGGCUUCGUGCAGCAGAGUGACAAUGCGAUCGUGAGCUUUCUCCGGGAGAAGGUGCUGGCCGGAGCGCUCGCGAGAAGCCUGGUGAAAAUGGCCGACUACGACUGCGGAACACUCUGA